GUCAAAUGCAAGAGAAAGUGAUUUGUAAUCUAUAAAAAGGCUGCUCAAUGGUCAGUCUUUUAUUUAUUAGAUCUUGAAGAUAUUCCUUGCCGACAACUUUUCAUCUAUGAGUUUGUCCCUUCAGAAGUCAUCAAUUAAAUGAUCAUCCUGGGAGAAAACUCUAAGGAGGUCCAUACCAUGAAACUAUGAUGGAACCUGAACACUCCUGAGGCAAACAGGGAUUUGUGCUCACGAAUGUGGGAUCCCACAUUCCUCAAUCAAAGGACUGCUGGAAAUCAGACGUUAAAGGAAAGAAGUGUUACCUUCUGCCAGAAGGAAGAGGAAAGAUUGUUCACUCUGAGGGGAGCCUGAGGAAACUCAAGCAGUCCUGUGAAGAGGCCCAGGUGACAGGAACUGAGGCCUCCCACCAACAGCCAGCACCAACUUGCCUGUCUUGGGACUGAGCCAUCUCAGAAGUGGAUCCCCCAGCCCAAGUCAAGCUUUCAGAUAACUGUCCACAAUAAGGCAUUUGAUGGCAACCUCAUAAGCAACUCUGAGCCAGAAUUGUUCCAAGCCACUCCCACAGAAACCCUGAGCAAUAAUAAAUGAUUUCUGUUGCAUUUACCAAGAAACCUUGGAGUAAUUUUUUAUGCAACAAUAGAUAAGUAAUCAGGAAUUAUAUUGUAUGAAUUCUUUUGUAUCUUGACUCUAUUACUCAACAGGUUUGAAAAAUUCAUCUAUGUUCCUGUGUGCAGCUUUAGUUUAUUUAUUUUUAGUACUGUCUAGCAUCCCAUUGUACAGAUACAUUUUGGCUUGAUUUUUAUAAACAUUUCUGUCUGUAGGGAAAAUUAUUCCCCUAUGGGGCUUGAGAAGGGGUGCUUGUUGAUUUGGGAGCAGGCCUCUGCAAAUGUGGGAGGGGAGGAUAAACA
rnacentral:lncRNA from 1 species